rnacentral:tRNA from 2 species
GAGGGCGUAGCUCAGUUGGUUAGAGCGCCUGGUUGUGGCCCAGGAGGCCGUGGGUUCAAAUCCCAUCGUUCUCC